rnacentral:rRNA from 1 species
AUGGGCAGCAGUCGCGCCCAGUCCAUGUGCCUGAGCCCGGGUCGCCACCACAGCAUCUUUCCAAACCAAAAAGGAAGCCAUACCCGAACCAGCUCCGGACGUCAACGCCUGACCAAUUCCAGUGGAACUGGCUCGAACCAACCACCCCAGCGACGCCGGAGGCACCUUGGCCAGAACAGAGACACAGAAGCAAGAGGAGGACCAGGGAAUCGCAGAGGCAUGCACCACAUCGAGAACAGGAACACUGUCCGGAAGUUCAUCAGAGAAUCGCGUCGUGGGAAGAAUCCAAUCUAUUACUCGUCCAUUAAUUUGGUGGAGAAGAAGAAACGACAGCGGUGUAGACGAUGGAGAUAA